rnacentral:rRNA from 1 species
GAUGAACGCUAGCGGCAGGCUUAAUACAUGCAAGUCGAACGGGAUCCGAGGUAGCAAUACUUUGGUGAGAGUGGCGCACGGGUGCGUAACGCGUAUGCAACCUACCUUUAACUGGGGGAUAGCCUCUCGAAAGAGAGAUUAAUACCCCAUAGUAUAACUGAAGAGCAUUUUUUGGUAUUAAAGAUUUAUCGGUUAAAGAUGGGCAUGCGGCUGAUUAGGUAGUUGGUGAGGUAAUGGCUCACCAAGCCAACGAUCAGUAGGGGGUCUGAGAGGAUGUCCCCCCACACUGGUACUGAGACACGGACCAGACUCGUGAUGCU